AAAAGAAGUAUGGAAGGCAGGGGUAGCAAGGCGGAGCUGUGCCCUGUCACGGCACACAGAGAAUGCCCAUGGAUUUUCACAAAUGCUGUUAAAAUGUGAAAAGAAGGUGUUUCUUUUUUCUUCAAUCUGAGCUUCAAGCUAAUAUGGGCAUUCAGCUAAAUCCCUCCUGGGUCCUGAAACAGUAUGUGGUUUUGGAUUUCAAAGAUAAUCCCUACAACUUCUGGGAGAGGUGCAAGUAUCAACCAGUUGGAGACACAGGGAAAGGGUGAUAUAAUGCAGAAAGUGACUUGAACAAAUUUACACAGAAGGCAGUGAAGUGUGAUUCAAAUUCAAGCAGUCUAGACUGUGCCCCACACAACUCUGCAGCAUAACCUUGCAGUAUGAAAAUAAUGCCUCUCAUGCAGAUCAGGGAUAUGAGAUCCAGUGACUUACCCAAAGUUUCAAAGGAAAGAUGUAACAGAGCCAUCUCUGAACUUCUGCUCUUGGGAAUCUACACACUCUUUCCACUAGUUCUGACCUUAGCAGGUGUUUGACCCAGGACUUGCCCAACUUGGUUUCCAUUUGUAUAGAACUAAUGCCAAAUUUCAAAAGAAAAUAUUACAUACCAUAAUCAAUAAAAACAAAAUAUCAAACAUG